AGCUUUGCACAGUGGCAGUAUCGUAGCCAAUGAGGUUUAUCCGAGGUGAGAUUAUUGCUAAUUGAAAACUUUUCCCAAUACCCCGCCAUGAUGACUUGAAAUAUAGUCGGCAUUGGCAAUUUUUGACAGUCUCUAGGGAGA
ensembl:snRNA U4 U4 spliceosomal RNA